AGGCGCGGGCGGUGCACUCGAGGAGGAGCAAUGCACAUGGGGGCUAGGGUUUCUUUUUUUUUGUGAAAAGAUGUUUAGGCUUUGGGCUUGUUGGGCCACUAGAGUUUUUUGUAAUUUGGGUCUGUUGGGUUUAUUGUAAAUGGACUUGGUAUUUGGACUUUUUAUUCAUUUGAGUUUUAUUUAUUUUUUAUAUUUGGUCUUGGGCCCGGGCGAAAUUAGACCAUUACAGCUGCCCUUCUUUGCUCGUUGUCGUGUAACGGGAAUAGAGCAAAGACUUCAAAAAAGGCUAAUUUUGUCCAGUCUCACUGAAUCUUAACUUCUUGGUGCUUAUCUUCUU
rnacentral:lncRNA from 1 species